UGUCAAUAGACACAAGCCCAUUAGCCUUAAAUGUAUUUUAAGCCUUGCUUUGGGUGGUGGAUACUUUUGAAUAAAUAGUUCCAUUUUAGCCAUAGGCUCUCAUCCACUUCUUUCAGCAGCAAGAAGACAUUAUGUACUCUCUACCACAAAAUCCUCUGAGUUCUGAUGGAAGAAAAGCCUUUGAGAAGGAGCAGGCCACCCAUGGAAGCAGCCAUCUAUCAUCUAUGCUCUAUGGAGAAACAGCUCUGCUGGCCAUGGGAAGCCAUGGAGACAGAAAAUCAAAGCUGAUUCAGAUGCUCUACACCACAGAGGAAUGUUUUCAUAAAUGGUGGAUGUCACUUCAGCUGGGGCUCCCUCUCAUUACAGUGUGAAGGGGCAAAGGAAAAUGAAGUGGAUCUCUAUGUCUGGACAUGGAAAGAUAUCUAAGAUGUUGUGAGAAGAAAAAAACCAAUUCUGUGAAUAUGAUAUACAAUUUUCAUUUGUAUACAAUAAACUGCUUCCCCCCUACCUCAACAAAUACUACUCAGUUGGGUAAGCAGGAAAAUGGCAACAUCAUACUCCUUACACCCGUCCUUCCUCCCCUUCCCAGCAUGUUACCCCUGUCUCUUUAUCACCUAUUUAUUGAAGCCAGCAAAUUACUUUUAUGCUUACAAAGAAAAACAAACAGAAAAUAAUACUGGUUGCGUCCAUCCCUGGAUCUUCAGUGACUCUUCACUAUCUUGUGAGCCUGGCAAACUCAGCCAUCAUGUCUUCUGUCUCCCUUCUCCAUCUUAUUUUCUCACACUGUCUUUACUAUACUCAAGCUUCAAAGCAGUGUACACACUGGGCC
ensembl:lncRNA